rnacentral:piRNA from 1 species
AGCAGUAUGGAAGUGUAAGCCGAAUAAACCCUUUCCU